UACGUAGGGUGCGAGCGUUAAUCGGAAUUACUGGGCGUAAAGCGUGCGCAGGCGGCCCAGCAAGUCGAGUGUGAAAGCCCCGAGCUUAACUUGGGAACUGCGCUCGAAACUACUUGGCUAGAGUGUGGCAGAGGGAGGUGGAAUUCCACGUGUAGCGGUGAAAUGCGUAGAGAUGUGGAGGAACACCGAUGGCGAAGGCAGCCUCCUGGGCCAACACUGACGCUCAAACACGACAGCGUGGGGAGCGAACGGG
rnacentral:rRNA from 1 species